GAUGGGAAAUUCCUGAGUGUGCCCUGCAAAAAUGCUGCUACCAAACUUUUCUCAGGGAGGGCCUGAAGAUGUUCCAGUUAUCAGUCAAAUGACAAACUGAAUUUCCAUACUCUCAACAGAGUUCUCAUUCUUAAAAAAGGCCUCCAAAUAGAGAGGUUCUUCUGAUCCUUUGUGGGAGGCAAGUUUCUACUCCAACAGACAGUCUUAUGACUUUGUUUUUCUUUGUCUCACCAGUCUUUUUGUGUGGAAGAACCCUUCCCUUUACCACUUCUAAGCAUUGACAUUUUCCUGCUUCUUUAAGACCCAGUGUGUUAGUUACCUAUUGCUGUGUAACAAAUAACCCCAAAGCUCAGCCACUGAAAACAACUAUUUACAUCACACAGUUUCUUUGGGUCAGGAAUUUGGGAGUGGCCUAGCUAUGUGGUUCUGGCUUUCAUGAGGUUGUAGACAAAAUACAGCAGGGUCAUCUGAAGGCCCAACCUGGGCAGGAGGAUUUGCUUCCCAGAUGGCUCCUUGUCAAGCUCUUGGCAGGAGGCAGAGUUCCUUGCCAUGUGGCUCUGUCCAGAGGCUCUGUCCUCACCGCACGGCAGCUGGUUUUCCAUAGAGUGAGUGAUCUAAGAGGGACAAAUACAGAAAUGUUAGUGUCUUUUAUGAUGUAGCCUUGGAAGUCACACUCUUUCAUUUCUUAUCUGUGUCCUUUUGAUGGCACGAAUCAGCCCUGUUCCGAAUGGGAGGGGGCUAUACAGGGUGCGAAAACCAGGAGGUAGGGAUCACUUGUAGCCAUGUUGGGGGCUGGUUACCACAUCCAGCUCAGGUCCUAUUCCUUCCAUUUAACCUGGUAGUAAAUUCAUACCUAAUAAUAUACUCUUCUCUGAACCUCUUAGUACUUUCUCUCUGAACUGCUACUUGGGACUAUUGGAUUCCACCUUGACUUGUUCUUUGAUUAGGUGGUUUAGACUCAAAUACUUAAGAUUGUCAAGUGGCUGGAGGGCAGAUCUUAUGAUCACCUGGGAUGAGGAGGCUGGGGGAUAGGCACUGAGACUUCAGCUUCUCUGGAGUGAGUCCCUAUUCCAGUGGCUAGCCUUUGUGCUGGGCUGUACCUGCCUGGAGGCAGGUGUACACUCUAGGGAUUCACACAAAGGUGGGCUAGGGACUGAAAGAGAGCUCUAGCGUGGGCCCUUAGCAAAUGUUUGUAAGAGGACUACAUAAGUGAAUGAAAAGUUUAUCCUGGCAUCUCGUAGAAUUCUGUGGGGACUUAGUGGUAUUUUGAUAUUCCUUACCAGUUUCAGAUUUCAGAGUGGCCCAUCUUGUAGGGAUAAUUUCUAUUCCUGAUGCAAAAGAAGUUUCCUCUCACCUCUGCCUGUGAGUGGAUAAAUAAGGCUGGCUGUGAGAGUUGGGUGUUAUUAAUUUGGUGUCACUCAUGCCAUAUUCUGAAAAGGUUCUCGUGUUUGAAGGUAGAAAGUUGCUCUAGUGAGGUGCGUUCCAGAUUUGAGUAGCAUAGGGUUGGAGUCAUUCCCCUCCUGGACAUGGAAUGACAGAUGACCAGGGAACAGACUUGUGUGGAAAUGCACUUCCAAAAGCCUCAGCCUCCAUCCCUCUCUUCUCCCUCUGAGGCUCAAGAGAGAUGGCCAAAGAGGGCACAUGAAGGCCUAGCUGCAUCUACCACAGCACGUAAGACUGAGUUGCUCACACCCAUUUCUCCAUAUGCAGGGCUGUUUCAUUAAUGAGUAAGACAUACAUUGGCUGUGUGUCAAGCCACCUCAGUAUUUAUUUGGCUUCAAGCUGGCCUUUCUAGAACAUGUGUGUCUCCAGGGGACUGGAACUCUUAACAGUUGUGGAACAGUUGUAACUUUGGCAGGUUUAGCUGAGCAGUUAGAGGAGUUCUCAAAGCCCAGAGUCUGCUGCUCUCCAUGGUGAGCACGCUUAAGUGUGCAGGGCAGGUGUGGGCACAAGGGAGGAGCUGCUGGCUGCUGUGCUCAAGGAGAGGAGGCUGUCACCUCCGUGGCCUAAGAAUGCCUCCUCAUUCACCUCCUGAGGUCACAUUUAUCUAUAGCAAUUCAUUCUUUUAAGCUGGUUCAGUAGCAUCAUAUUAAUAUGUAUUACUAACACCUUAUUAACAUACUAACAUCAUACUAACCUGUAACAUACUGGUUUGGAAGUCGAAGUUUUGGAGUUGAAGAGACUUAGGUAUAUAUUCUAGAUCUGCCAUUUUUUACUGUGUGCCUUAACUUUAAGCCUUUCUUUGCUCACCUGCGAAGUGGAGGUAACUGUACCCUUACAUUUAUGGCCAGUUUGUGAGGAAUAUUGGUGUGUGUUCUGGUUUCUUAUAAAUUCUGUUCAGGUUUUGGUAGCAGGGUAAUCCUGGCCUCAUUAAAUGAAUUGACUGAGUGUUUCCUCUUUUAUUUUCUGAAGAGUUUGUGUGAGAUGGGUAGUUUUUUUCUUUUCAUUUCUUAAAUGUUUGAAAGCACUCAGCAACACAAUCUGAGGUUUUCUUUGUGGUGAGGUUUUUGGUGAUAAAUUUAUUGCUGUCACUAUUGAGAACCAGGUACAUGAUUAAAUGAGAUUCCGUCAGGGAGAGCCAAGUCCCAGCAGACAGACAGCGCUGACAGACUACUGUCAUGCCUCCUGGGCAAGAUGUCCCCUGUCCUGCCAAAUACCCCCUCACCUGCUGUAUGCAGGAUUCAGUCCCACUGCAUUGCAUAUGUGUAAAGAUCCCCAUAAAAAGGAGAAAACUGAGACUCAGGGAAGUGAAGUCAAUUAACAAAACUCACACAGCUAAUAGAUUGCAGAAUAAAACCAGGACCCCACUUUAGUUAUUUUGACUCAAAUCCUAUGGUGUCUCACCGUGCCCUAGCUGGAAUGUAAUGGUUCUGUCAGUCAAUUCCAUUUUGUCCUCUGACAGUGACAUUCUCUUUCUCUCUGCUCUCCUGAUGGGCACUGGGAGCUGCGCUGGGCUCAGAGCAUUAGCUUUUUGUAGAUCCAUUCAGAAAUCAUUUGCUUUUCCUUUUGGGUCUCCAAGGUCCCAUGCAAGCUUCGUGGCAAAACAAGAAAACAAAAGGUCACAGAGUAUGAGUGCAUUUAGAAAGCCUCAGCGGGGGAAAGAAUUCACUUGAAAAAGAUGGGCAGAUCAUCAGGAGCGUGGUUCCACAGCAGACCCAGAACCCAGAGCCUAUAAUUUCCAGCAAGUUCUUCUCCACGACCGUGAUCAUGCUACUCAGGCUGGGGCAGCUGAAGCAGGACGCGCGCCUUGGACUCCGCAGGGGAGAGAGGAGAUCUGAGCAGCACACCCGUGAAGAUGGAUGAUAGCCCAGAUGUGUCUCUGCCCAGCACUACACAAGGACCCUCAAAUGCUUAGAGACCUCCCCACUGGAAGGUCCCCAGAACUGCAAGUUCAAUUGAGUCAUUAAUAUUUCCCCUUGAAUUCCUCCUCAAUGUUUUCCAUCUUUGCAAAUGGUACCAGCAUAGUCUUGCUUAAGCCACAGAUUUGGGAAUGAAUAUUGAUUUCUCCAUCUUCCAGUCAUUUCUACAUCCCAGUAAUCACUAGCCCUAGUAAUCCCCACAUCUAAACAUGUUUAUAAUUUUCCCGACCUCCUCCAGUCUUCACUGAAACUGUGGAGGUCAGGUCGCUGCCAUUUUAUGCCUGGAUUAUUCUUGUUCCCUUCAAUCCAUUCUUCACUUCGUAGCUAUCCUGGAAUUCCCUAACGAAAUAUCUAGUUAUUGUUUUUCUUGGCUUAGCACUGUUCAAUGAUUCCACAUUGAUCUUUGUAUAAAGUCCAAACUCUUAUGAAAGUCUUGCAAGGCCUGUUGUGAUCUGUCUCAUCCUCCCUGCAGCCCUCGUCUCUUACUCUCUCGCAUAAUCUUCGCUCCUGCCCUCUGAACCCUCUCUGCCCUCUGUGCCGCACUCUCAGCAUUUGCUCUUUUGUGUCUCACUCUUUCUCCUGCUUCACACUUCCUUAUUCUCUAAAUCUCACCUUGGACAUCCCUUCCCUUGGCUCUGAAAGAUUAAAUUGGUUGUCCCUCAUAUUGAGUCAUAUGUUCUUCCUUUCUGUCUUCCCUUCCUUAUUACUAUUAAUAUUUUCCUGAUUUAUUCAUUUUUUAAAUCACUAGACGAUAAGCUACUUGAAAACAAGGACUGUGUCUUACUCAUGAUUGCAUUUACAAUGUUUGAUAUCCUUAAGUCCUUGACUUACGGAUAUUUGAUUAAAUAGGAGAAACUCAGGAGAUAAAUAAUGUGGGUUAUUGAAGAACAUUGCCAAGAACAAAUCAAGAACACUAACUUUGUGUCUGUGCAUCGGAUGAAACCUGUUCAGAAGUGAGGCAAAUGGGCUUGGACUUGUGCCCAAACGGAAAAGUGACACUUAUUCUGGGACUGAAGGAACUGAAAAUAGAUGAGGUGUGGUAUAUUUGUAGGUUCUAGAAGAAAACAGAAUUCUAAUAAGAUAAUUGACUUGAAGACAUUUAAUACAAGAAUAACCUGCAGCAGUGUGGGCAGGGUUAAGGAAAUCAACAUAGGAUUUUGUUGCACCCAGAGACUAGCAACAACAGGAAGCUGUUACCACCUCUGGGGCUGGAGGGACUAAGGGAGGAAAUAGUGUUCACAGAGAUGAUGGAAUGUGGAGGAGGAAUGCGUACCAGAGCUGUGGUGUGGAGGCAGGGUGGGGACAGGGAAGAAACACCUGAUCUUUUCUCCUCUUGCUGGUGCCCCUUUUAGCCAAACUCACUGGGAGGCCAGAGGAUGGGGAACCUGAGUGCUACAGGGUUGGUCUUGUAGGGCUCAGUAGUAUAGGAAAGGAUGGAGAAUGGAUCAGGAGCCACAAGUGAAGAUUACCAGCACACAUGGUUGUGCAAAGGGAGAACAGUAGUAAGAAAAGAGAAUACCUCCAACUGUUGGAUUUAGAAGAGAAUUUUUAAUUAUUGGAGGACAGUGGAAGUUGGUGGUGACUUGGGGAAGACUCUGGAAUGCUUUACAUCUGUGCUUGGUAUCCUGGAUAAUGUCCGGCUGGACACCUGUGAUUUAGCUCAUGGGUAGAGGGUGUAUCUGGACAUUUGUUUUUUCAGUGUUUGUGAAGAUUGGGUGCCCUCGAGCAAUUUGAUUGUUGACCUGGAGCAGGGGUGGUGCUGCCAGAGAAGCAGUGUGGGAGUGGGGUGUAGGAUGAGGUGAAGGUUCAGGGCUUGGAGGAGAGAGCUUGCACUCCGUGAACUGCUGUGUGAGGCACUGAAAACAUGCUGCGUGCAUCCCACUGAGCACCCAGCCAGACAGUCUGUUAUUCAUUGUUGUCAUUGUUACUGUUAUGUGUAUGUUUGCUUCAUGGGUGUGUGUGUGUGUGUGUGUGUGUGUGUCUUUGGGAGCAUCUGGGAGUGUACUUUGGGAAUGGGCUACUCUGUUCUUUUGUUGUGUGUGACCUGGAAGAAUUUCUCUUGGAAAUGCAAUUCCUCAGAGGGUAUUUUGCAAACAGUCCAUUGGUUUAUUACCUACUGUCAGGUCAUAAUAAGAAGAAAUGGCCCUAAAUGACAGCAGGAAGAAUUUCAUUUAGACUUAAGGGAUGGCUUUUAAUAACUUGUAGUAUCAGAUUCCUUCCUGACUUUAGGGAGACAUCAUUUUUCUCUUCAUUUCUGAAUUACAUCACAUAUCCAAACAACAAGAGUUCCAUGUUUUAAGUUCCAUGGAAGUGACAUAAAAUUAUAUAUAUGUACCAAUAUUCUUUGAAAUUAUGACUUUUAGAAUGUCCAGGUUGUCUUUACUCUGGUUAUUGAUGCUUGUUUGCCUAGUUUCCUCUCACUCUUUGCCUGCAGGGUGCAGAGAGCAUAGGCAAGAGUCACAUACUCUGGGAGAGUGUCAGAAAGACUCGGCCAUCUGCUACUUGAUCUGACCUGCAGCCCCAACUCUGACUGCUUUUUCUCUCUCUCCCCAUUGCUUACUUAUCUCCAGAUACACAGGCCUCUCAGCUGUUUCUCAGACUCCUGCCUCAGCCCCUGUA